rnacentral:rRNA from 1 species
GACGCUGGCGGCGUGCUUAACACAUGCAAGUCGAGCGGAAAGGCCCUUUCGGGGGGUACUUGAGCGGCGAACGGGUGAGUAACACGUGAGUAAUCUGCCCUUGGCUUUGGGAUAACCACCGGAAACGGUGGCUAAUACCGGAUAUGACGGGCUCCGGCAGUCGGGUUCGUGGAAAGUUUUUUCGGCCAGGGAUGUGCUCGCGGCCUAUCAGCUUGUUGGUGGGGUAAUGGCCUACCAAGGCUUCGACGGGUAGCCGGCCUGAGAGGGUGACCGGCCACACUGGGACUGAGACACGGCCCAGACUCCUACGGGAGGCAGCAGUGGGGAAUAUUGGACAAUGGGCGGAAGCCUGAUCCAGCAACGCCGCGUGAGGGAUGACGGCCUUCGGGUUGUAAACCUCUUUCAGUACCGACGAAGCGCCGAUGAUGGUGGUGACGGUAGGUACAGAAGAAGCACCGGCCAACUACGUG